AAACAAAAAGCUUCAUCAGAAUGAUGCAGUUGCUGUAAACGAGUUAUGUACACAAGUUCUGACGGAUGAAAUUAUUUUUUACCAAGAAUUAAUACAAGAAACCCAGCCUCUAAUUAUAGUGUAUCAAAAUUCCACGCAAAGAAAAAGAGUGAAAGAAGUAGCCAGAAAUAUUGUGUUUCUAGACGCAACUUACAAAGGUUUGACUGCAUAUGGGUACGUUUUUUACGCUUUGGUGGCUAGAAAUGAAGAGAAUAGGGGUACACAACUUGCCUAUUGCAUUGCGUCAGAAGACAAUAGCGAUUUGGUUAAAACAUUUUUGACAGCAGUAAAGAAAUCUGCAUCCACUCAUGGAUAUGUUUUUUGUCCAAGAUCAUUUAUGGUGGACAGAGACCAAAAGGAAAUCAGCGCGAUUAGCACAGUAUUCCUCGACAGCACAAUAUUACUAUGCUGGUUUCAUGUAUUACAGGCAAUAUACCGAUUCCUGAACAAGAAAGAGUCUGGAAUAUCAGGAAAUCAGCAUGCAACGACUCGGAAGAAAGUUGUGGAAUACAUAAGGUCUAUGCGACUAUGUGCUACGAAAGAAGAGUUCAUGAACUUUGUUGGCAAAAUUCACGAGGAAAUGCCAACUGUGAUUGUUACAAUAUAUUUAGAAACCCACUGGUGCAUUAAAAAAUGGGGGCCUUUCUGGAGCAA